rnacentral:rRNA from 1 species
UACGGAGGAUGCAAGCGUUAUCCGGAAUGAUUGGGCGUAAAGCGUCCGCAGGUGGCAAUGUAAGUCUGCUGUCAAAGCGUCUGGCUCAACCAGAUAAAGGCAGUGGAAACUACAUAGCUAGAGUAAGGCAGGGGUAGAGGGAAUUCCUGGUGUAGCGGUGAAAUGCGUAGAGAUCAGGAAGAACACCGGUGGCGAAAGCGCUCUGCUGGACCUAAACUGACACUGAGGAACGAAAGCUAGGGGAGCGAAUGGG